rnacentral:rRNA from 1 species
UACAGAGGGGGCAAGCGUUAUUCGGAAUUAUUGGGCGUAAAGGGCGCGUAGGCGGCCUGGCAAGUGGAAGGUGAAAUCCCUCGGCUUAACCGAGGAACUGCCUCCCAAACUGCUUGGCUUGAGACCGGGAGAGGUGAGUGGAAUUCCUAGUGUAGCGGUGAAAUGCGUAGAUAUCAGGAGGAACACCGGUGGCGAAGGCGGCUAUCUGGACAGAGUCUGACGCUGAGGCGCGAAAGCGUGGGGAGCAAACAGG